rnacentral:rRNA from 1 species
UCAUAAGUUAGACGACAAGAGGCGCCGCAGGUUUAAUCUUUUUAUAAUUCUAAUCCAGACAUAUAAUAAUAAUAUUAGUACUGACACUUAGUAAUUAAUUUUUAUUUUGUAAUAAUUUCAUUAUAUAAUUUCAUAAUUAUUUACCCUAUUUAUACGGGUGACUUUUUACAAAUUCUUAUUAUUACUAGUGAGCCGAGAUUAGAUUAGAUUAAGGUUUCUCCGGGUGGUGGCACAGAAUAGGAGGCCCCGACUGUUUACUAAAAACACAAGAGAAAGCAAUCACCAAGGUGAUAGUAUUUUUUCUGAAAUUUGCCCGAUGUCAUUAAUAUAAGGUUGAGCAUGGGUUGCUGUGGUCAACUGAAAAUCUGAUUAAUAGCGGUCUUAACUAUGAGGAUCCUAAGGUAGCGUAAUCAUUUGGCCAUUAAAUGUGGUCCGGUAUCAAUAAUGUAACGAUGGUCUCACUGUCUCUACAACUUGCUCAGUGAAAUUGAAUUACGCGUGCAGAUGCGCGUUGCCUUCAGAGGGACGGGAAGACCCUA